UUAAACAAAGGAUCACUCUUAAGUUGCCUCUCCUUACUAGAUAUCUUUAUUUUUAUCGCUCAUAUUAACUAAUUUUGAUCAAUUAUCGUUUGUUCGACGACUAUUGGUGAUUGUUCGAAAACAAUUAAAUUCCCAAUUAUUAAUUAAUUGUAAAUAAAUAAAAGACGAACAAACAAUUUUUACAUUCGAGCAUUAACGAACAAACGACGAACAAAUAAUUAAAAAUUAAAAAAAUCCAAAAAACAAAAAAAGGGGGCCCAAUUUACAGAGCCGGAGUGAGGACAUUGAGGACUUUUUGGCGGGAGUGGGAGGAGUGAAGUUGUGUAAUUUGUUUUAUUUUGUUUAAUUAUUGUUUCUUCAGGUUUAAAUGUGUAAUAACGGUGGUUUAUUAACUGUUUAAUAUCGGUGAAAGUGCACAAAUGUGGGAAAAUGAAAGAAAGCCGCUGGACGUAGCUUCUCGUCCAAAAAGCCCACUGAAAAAAUCUCAGUAAAUGACCACCAUUUUACAACGAUUAUAUUGCAUCCCAUAUCAUCUAUAUCCAGUGCCAGAAUCAUCUCAUUUCAUUUAAUUUCAUCCCAGUUGAUUAAUCUAUUAUUAAUUAUCUUCUUUUCAUUCUAUUUACCAUCAUAUUUCAUAAAAAUAAGAAUAUAAAUUAAAAUAAGACAUGACUUAAAGGUCUUAGUUACAGGUCAUAAAAUCCCUUAAAAUAAAACAUAUUUCAAUCUUAAUAGGCUCUUUAUAAAGUCAUGUUAUUGUACUAAAUUACAAUGGCUCAAAAGAGUCAUUACCAAACACAAAAUAUUUAAAGAAAUAUAUUACAAAAAUAUUUACAAAAAAUGAAACUCGAUUCAGGGACCGUAUCAACACUAUCAACGGAAGAAAGAUAUCAUGAGAGAAAAUUAAAUUUUAUAAAGAACUGAAAAUAAAAAAUCAGUAAAUUUAUAACUAUGACAGCAUAUUAAUUACUAUGGAAAUUAAACAGAAUCCACUUCAAACGCAUAUUUCGUCUCGGUUAGAAGAUAAAUCAGUGCGAAACAGUAGAGGUAGACCAAACGCAAGAAACACGAUUGUUUUUAGUCCUCAGCCUAAAUCAACAAUUGCUGAAUUUUUAUCAAAACAUAAAAAGAGUCAAGACAAUGUUUCUAAAGCAAGUCUACAAAUUACUGAAACAAAUGACUGUGAAAAAUAUAAUUUGAUUUGUGGACUUUGUUCUCAUAGGAGUGCUGACAUGAAGAGUCAUAAAAAGCACAUGAUGGAUCAUAAGCAAUUUAUUUGCGACUUUCCUAGUUGUAAAUACAGUUCUAAAUUGUCUUCAAAUCUCUUAAAACAUAAGAGGGUUCACACCAAUGAAAAACCGUAUCUUUGUGAAAAGUGUUCAUUUAGAUCAAACUUCAUCAAUUCUCUCAAAGUCCACAAAAGAACUCAUUCAUCAGAUAGGCCGUAUCAGUGUAAACAUUGUAAUUAUAAAUGCAAUAGUAGUUCAAAUCUUAAAAAACAUUGUUUGCAUCGACAUCAUAACUAAAAGAAAAAUUACAUACAUUUGGGUUUUCUAGAUUAGUAUUUUUUAGAGUAAAAUUCCAUACUACAAUUUAGUGUAAUGUGUCAUAUUAUUAAAUAUGAGUAUUUCUUAUUCAUAUAAGAUAAACUUUCAUGACUUAUCUUAUUUCUUAUUAGUACUAAGUGCCCAUAAAACACUAACAUUGAAAUGUUAUGAGGACUUUUUUUUCAUUGAAUAAUUCACAGCCAGAAAAUUUGAAUAAAAGAAAAAUAAAUUGAAUUGUUGCUA